AUGCGUCUGGUGUAGUGGCAACAUUUAUGCUUCCCAAGCAUGAGCUCCGGGUUCGAUUCCCGGGACGCGAA
rfam:Thecamonas trahens ATCC 50062 unplaced genomic scaffold supercont1.14, whole genome shotgun sequence.